CAUUCAUUCAUUGAAAGUAGGCUCCACACCCAGCAUGAAGCCCAACCCGGGGCUUGAACUCGUGACUUUGAGAUCAAGACCUGAGCUGAGAUCGAUUCAGAUGCUUAACCAACUGUGCCCUGAGAACUGCCAUAUUUUAAAUAAUCUACACGUGCUAUUCUCUUUUGGUUCAACAAUUUAGAUGUAUUAUCUUCCUAUAUUGGUAAAUGAGGAUUUAGUGCUCUUUUUAGCCAUCCUCUCCCUCGUCCUCCCUACAUCAUGUAUUAUUAUUAUUAUUGGUUAGAUUACUGUUGGUGUUUACAUGAUUAUAUACAUGCAAGGAAAGCAGAGCAUUGUAGUGCACUAUUAUUUUUCUUUGUUACUUUUUGUUUUUCCUGAUAUUGAUAAUUGCCUUGUUUGUUCACUGGCAACUACUUUAGAUUUCUUUCUUUGCAGUGCCUUUGGUCAAAGUAUUGCACUUGUGACCUAAUUUCUCUUUGCUGAGGCCAAAUUUAGCUGACAUUCUGGGUUUUCAGCCCCCGAAUGCCCUCUACCUCAGGACUUACUAAAAAAGAGACUCUAAUCUAAGAUGCAGCCCAUUUCCCAUCAUCGGCUUUAUUUUCCCCAAAUGGGUCAUUCUUCAACCACAGCUUUUCAUCUCCAUUUAAGAACCUAGCUCCUGGGGCGCCUGGUAGGCUCAGUGGUAGAGCACGUGACUCUUGAUCUCGAGGUUGUAAGUCAAGCCCCUUUUUGGGCAUAGAGUUCACUUGGGGAAAAAAAAAAAAAAAAAAAGAGCCUAGCUCCAGCUAACCUUCCGUGGCUUCUUGCUGGAGGCCCUUGACACCAUAGUCUCCCUCGUCACACAUCUGAGAUCAGUUAUUACACAGCCAACACUGAUUUCUUCAGAAGGUCUUAGGGGCCAGUACUGCUCCAGCACACGUGAUCACACACUCAGUAGCUUCUAAAAACUCAAAACACAUGGCAGCAUUCACAGUUGCCUCUGGGACCUCUGUUUUCUCCUUUUGGGCUCUAUACUGUUGCUGCCCUUUGGGUCCACGACCUUUAGGUUAGCUCACUAAUGAUCUUGGGCUGUGGGCAAUCCAAGGGUUUGUUUAGAACAGUGUCAAGUAAGUAGCGACCCUCUCUGGUUUUUGCUUUCACCGAGUGUGGUCUACCAUACCCCCAGGAUUCAUCGCCCUGCCCCUCGUCUUUCUCUACAAGGAUCGAUGCCGUUGCCAAUACAGAGAACCCUGGUGUUCCUGCCCCCAAGGGUGAGGGGGUCUGUCAUAGAAAAUGAGGACCCCAAUGCUGAGGAGAGGAAACCCCAUUAAAACUUUGCAUGAUUCAAUUCAUCCAGAGGAAAGGCCUCAUUCAACAGGGGAUCUCCGUCAGAAGAGCUCUUCUCCCGAAGUGUGCUGGUCUCUCAAGAUGCUGAAAGCAGCUUCCGGACUUCGCUGAUUCAGCCCUGGCCUGCCUGCUUUUGGAGGAUGCUUGAUCAUGUCAGCUUCCUGGUGAUAACCGGCUUUAUUUAGCCUGCCCUGCUUCUGCCUAUUCCUGUACCCUCUCUUACGGAAUCUCUUCCCAUCCAAACUGAGCAGCUGGGGAAGGAAGUCAAACGGUCUAGGCCGUAAAACCUUGAAGUAUCCACAUCUCUCCUCAAACUCAGUGACCCCCACCGCUAACAGAAAGGUGGAUACUGAAACACUGGCACAGGAUCUUUUCCUGAAAUAUAGCCUGCUUUCUACGUCUGCAUCUCUGCUCACUUCUCAACAGAGAACAAAGGGAUUUUUAUGGAGGCAGACACACCCCGCAUUCCCAGUUUACAGAAUUUAUUUUUAACCAGAACUACGUGUAGAAAUAUGUGAGCAGCUAUGCUAGUAAUAAUAGACGGAAGAGGAGAAGAUGUGUGUGUGUGUGGAUUCAUCUUCCUAGAAGAAAAAGUCAGAGAGAUUGGAAGUGAAGGAAUCUGUGUGCUAUUGUUUACUUUGAAGAUGAAAGAGACCAGUAUAAAGAAAUAAACUUUAGAAGCAGAGAGUGGCCUCCAAUGACAACCAGCAAGAAAAUGGGACCUCAGCCAUAAGAUACCAGAUUCUACCAACAACCCAAAUGAAGAGACAGAUUCUUUCAGAGAGCCUCCAGAAAAGAGCCCAGUCUGGCCAACACUUUGAUUUUGACCUUGUGAAACUCUAAGCAAAGAGCCCAGCUGGGCUACCCAGACUUUUGACCUACAGA